UACAGAGGGGGCAAGCGUUGUUCGGAAUUACUGGGCGUAAAGGGCGCGUAGGCGGCCUUCUAAGUCAGACGUGAAAUCCCUCGGCUCAACCGGGGAACUGCGUCUGAGACUGGAAGGCUUGAAUCCGGGAGAGGGAUGUGGAAUUCCAGGUGUAGCGGUGAAAUGCGUAGAUAUCUGUUAGAACACCAAUGGCGAAGGCAGUUGCCUGGCCCGUUACUGACGCUAAAGCACGAAAGUGUGGGUAGCAAACAGG
rnacentral:rRNA from 1 species